GACGGAGGAUGCAAGCGUUAUCCGGAAUGAUUGGGCGUAAAGCGUCCGCAGGUGGCAGUUCAAGUCUGCUGUCAAAGACCGGGGCUUAACUUCGGAAAGGCAGUGGAAACUGAACAGCUAGAGUAUGGUAGGGGCAGAGGGAAUUCCUGGUGUAGCGGUGAAAUGCGUAGAGAUCGUAAGGAAGACCAGUGGCGAAGGCGAGUUUCUGGACAGUAACUGACGCUGAGGCACGAAGGCCAGGGGAGCAAACGGG
rnacentral:rRNA from 1 species